CUCAACUCCAUCUGUUUUAUAUCUUUUCCAGUUCUUCUUUUUUGGAUAUUGGUUUGAUCGAUCUUACAUUAGUGGAGUUCAUCCCCUUUCUGUUUCAAAUGCCAGAUCUCUGCCUGCCCAUGUUUCGUUUUAUUGUUCUUGUUGCUUUUCUCAAACUAUAAUUCUUGUUUGGUAUCCAACUUUUCUGAAUUGAGAUGGUUUUGAGUUGCUUCUUCUCUCUUAAGAAUAUAAUACGUUUCUGAUGGAAUUCAGGUUAAUGAUUCAUACAGUAUUGGUUAGGAUCGUCUCUGGGAAUAUCUGAAUUGAUUAGGGUUUUUUUUUUUUUUUUCCUAUUUAAUUGCCACUUUUUCUUGUGCUUGCGAUUCUAAUGAGCCAAGUGUUUUCUAGUGGCUUUACUCUGGCUAAACCCAAGCAUUGUAAUCUUUGCGUAGAAUGUGGCAAAAUUUGGUCAUGUCUUACGAUAUAAAUCUUUGACAGCCUCCAAGAAGGCUAAUGGGUCAACUUUCUGAACUCUUCAAUACCAUUUUGUAUUAACCUCCUUUAUUGUAGUUGUUCUUUGUAGAACACUGUUUAUCUACAAUGUUUGCUGAGAUUUGGAUCAGGUGGAUCAUGGAAUGUGCCACAACUGUGACAUAUCGUAUUAAGGUCAACAAUUCCAUUGUAGGGCAGGUCUGCCCCUUCCGGGGACUUCGGCAGGGAUGCCUUCUUAACCCCCAUUUGUUCAUCCUUUGUAAAUAGGUGCUGUCCUACCAUUUCCUUCAUGCUGAAUCGUUCCGGCCCAUCCACGGUGUUAAGACUAGUAGGGCUAGACCUUGUAUCUUACACCUCUUGUUUGCCGAUGAUUGCAUGCUUUUCUCCAAAGGGGUAAACAAGAAAGUGAUGACCUAAUUAGAAUACUAUCUGAUUAUUGUCUUGUUUCUGGGAAAGAACUCAAUUUUCACAAAUUUAGUGUUAUGUUUAGACUUAAUACUCUUGCUAGCAUUAUGAUGGAGGUGUCAUCUACCACUGGUUUCAUUACUGUCUUAACCCAUUUCAAGUAUUUUGGCCUCCCCAAUGAAUGUGGACAUUCUAAUCUUACCCUUUCCGUUGGUAUCGUUGAACAUGUCCAAUCUAAAAUUGAUGACUGGAAAGACUCUUCCUUUUGCAGUGGGAAAGGAGGUCCUCACUAAAGUAGUUGCCACAAGUAUCCCUUCUUCUUAUGCCGUGUCAAUUUUUUUUCUUCCUACUAGUACCAUAUAUGAUUUGAACAAAAUUAAUCUGCAUUUUUUGUGGAAGGACAGUAAGGAUAGAGGCAUAUACCAGCAGAAGGAAUGUGAUGUGCACAAGUAAAAAGGGAUGGGGGUUUGGGUUUUCGGGAGUUGAGCUGUUUUAAUCUUGCUCUAUUGGCUAGACAAGGUUAGCGUUUUUUGCAUAAUGAGGGAUAUUUAUGGGUGGAGGUUCUCGAAGGUUGAAUAAUUAAUAUGAACCUAACAACAGUAAGAAAUAUCAUUAAAGUACAAAUAACACUCGUUAUCACUUUUUUUUGGGGGGGCGGGAGUAAGCUUAUCAGCUAUAACAUUGAAAAUUUAGAAAGUUAGUUUUGUAACAUGGAGAAAAACCCCAUGCAUAUAUGUAUUGGAACCACCAUAUUACUGAACUCACCUAGGUACUUGCCAUAUCAAUCAUGUUGCCCUUUGCUUGUUGCAUAUCACCUACAGUUUGUUUCCUUUCAAAGAUCACACUCCAAAUCUUCAAGAGUGAUUGAUAGGAUUGGUGGUCCACCACCUUCUCGUACUCGGAGAAGAAAUUUGUUAAUUCUUCUUUGGUUACAGUUGUUCUACAUUUUCUUCACAUUUGGGUCAUUUCCCUUGUUUAUUUCAUUCCUGAUUAUUCUUUUCUAGUUCACCUUUGAUAGAUCAGAAAAUAUGUUGGAGGGGUUGUGGAUAGCCUGACCAGAUAGUUUACAAGAAUGGCAUAGUAAACCAGUUAGGCAAAGGGAUUGAUCGAAAAGGAUCUCUUGUUCUUGUUAUAAGAUCGUGAUCGGAUCCACAUGGAACAUGAAAAUGUUACUCUUCGGAACAGAGUGGAAGAAGGAUAGGCUCAGUUUACUCCUAGUUUCAUGCUCUAGGGCUGCCCUUGUCUGUGGUAAGAACCAGAGUACAUCGAACUAGGGGCAGGAGUCUUCUUCAUCUGUGUCUCAGACACAAUGCUUGCAAUAAAUAAGAAAAAGAUUGAAUUACGUAGAAAAAAAACCUUGGAACCUUGUUCAGUAACAACGAGAAAGAAAGAAUCAAGAGUUUGACUAAGAAAAAUUAGAAAUCAUGAUUCAGUUCACUGGACUUCGACCUCAGGAAUCCAGAAUGGUGAGAAGUAGACAGUUACCCAAAGUGGCCUAUGGUGGGAGUAUAAUACAUGUUUAAACUUUGAACUUCAAUAUUUUUGUCGGAAUUUUUUGGUUCCAUAGUUUCUUGUUGUUUAUCAUCUGAUGAUAUAAUAUUUCAUUCAUAUGAAUAAUACAAUGUUAUAAUAUGAUUUAUAUUAUCACAUUUGGUGAUACAUUUUUAAUAACAGGAUAUGCCCGUAGAUAAGUGGCAUGGAGGCAUUCUUUUUUUCCCAUGGUUAUGUUGCAGGAAGCAAUAUUAUAUUCUUUAUAGCCAUAUUCUUCUUUGUUGUUACUAUUUAUGUUAUUUUUAUUUGUUUCUUAGUAUUCGAUUCAAUUUCAUGACGGAUGGUAUUGUCACUGAAGUGUUAAAAGCCUUUUUGGUCAAGUAUGGAAAGCCAUGGUAUGGCAGACUAGCUCAUAGAUUAGUGGGGAAGACACCUACGGAGGCUGCUGCUGUUAUUGUGGAGGAUUAUGAACUACCUUGCUCUGUGGAUGAAAUUAUAUCAGAACUUAAUCCAUCGUUCUCUGAUCAGUAAUCUUUCCAUACACUUAACCUUAUUUUACAUGUUCUAUAGAUCUGAAAUUUUCUUUGCAGGGAUCUGUUGCAAUGUAAGUCAAGGAAACCAUAUUUUUCUGUAAAACAUAAACAAUGACCAAUAGAGACUUGAAGGUAGUUGGCUGUGUAAAGGAACAGGACACAGCCAUACUGCACUGAUAUAGAUUGUCAUUGCAGAUUCAGUGUAAGUAGAUUCAAUUUUAUGUGUUUUCUGUCCAAACACUUAUUCUUGCAUGAGCAUAUUGAAGAGCAUGUUUCAAGAGAAAAUUUUUCUUAAAUAUGGUAUAAAUUAUUGUUUUCAUUACUUUAAGUGGGUUUGGAGAUAGCAAACACAAUCAUGCAACUCCAUUGAUCAUAUCCAAAUAUGGAGCCAUAAUUUUAGCUGUUCAUUUGAUUUUAAAAAGGAAAAUAUGGGGCAUGCCACCAUUUGAAGAUUGUAUUUCCUGAACUUUCAUUUCCUUUUGAUUAACCAUAUCAUAAUUUGGUUUAUUUUGAGGCUUCUUGUUGUCAUAUACUGAUUUGGUUUUGUAGGGUUAGAGGGUACUUUACCACUUGAACCUUGGCACAUUGGAGGACCUGUUGUCAAGGGUUUUGGUCGUGGCUCAAAGGUACUUGGAAUACCCACAGGAGCCAUGGAUACCUCAUGACUUUGAUGAAGAUUUCUACGGUGAGGAGCUAUGCCUAAAUGUCAUUGGUUAUAAACGACCAGAGGCCAAUUUCCCGACUCUUGAGAGCCUGAUAGCGAAAAUUCACUAGGACAGGAGGAUUGCAGAGAAGGCCUUAGAUGUUCACCAAUACGCAAGAUACAAGAAUGAUCCCUACUUGUCAAUCUCUUAGCAGAAUAAUGAGCAUCAUUCAUUAAUUUUGCAAACAGUUCUCUUUGCCCCAGUUGUGUUUUACAUGCAUUACAGAAGCCUUAUUUCAUGCUACCUGGCCAAAGAAAAGGCCUUCCUUUUUUUCUUUCACAGUCUAUUUGAAGGAUGUGCUAAUGUACUUACUGAUUCAUGA